GGCAGAUGGACGUGAGCAGGAGCACUGCAGAACUGGCAGAAUCUCACAUGAUAUUGAAUUUACUGGCUAGAGAAGGGCUGCAGACUAGAGAAAACAGAAAAAAUGCUGAGAAGGCAAAAUAAGAGGAGACUCACAGCAGAACUUUCUACAAACAUCCUGCCACGUCAGCUCCUCUGUUCCUCUCAUUACUUCAAGUUUCAGGAUAAAGAGAGGCCAGUUUUUAUUCACCUUUUUAUGCACACAAUGUAAAGAAGACACCAAAGAGGAGACCAG